rnacentral:rRNA from 1 species
UGCACCUACGGGAGGCAGCAGUGAGGAAUAUUGGUCAAUGGGCGGAAGCCUGAACCAGCCAAGUCGCGUGAGGGAAGAAGGCCCUGCGGGUCGCAGACCUCUUUGGACGGGGAGCAAGGCCGCCGACGUGUCGGCGGAAGGAGAGUACCCGUAGAACAAGCAUCGGCUAACUCCGUGCCAGCAGCCGCGGUAAUACGUAGGGUGCGAGCGUUAAUCGGAAUUACUGGGUGUAAAGGGUGCGCAGGCGGUUGAGUAAGACAGAUGUGAAAUCCCCGAGCUUAACUCGGGAAUGGCAUAUGUGACUG